AGAGUUUGAUCCUGGCUCAGAAUGAACGCUGGCGGCGUGCUUAACACAUGCAAGUCGAACGAGAAAGGGAUUGCUUGCAAUCCUGAGUAGAGUGGCGCACGGGUGAGUAACACGUAGAUAAUCUACCUUCAAACCUGGAAUAACUGUUCGAAAGGGCAGCUAAUACCGGAUAAAGUUAAUUUGCACAGGUGAGUUAAUGAAAGAUUGCCUCUUCUUGAAAGCAAUUGUUUGGAGAUGAGUCUGCGGACCAUUAGUUUGUUGGUGGGGUAACGGCCUACCAAGACUGCGAUGGUUAGCUGGUCUGAGAGGAUGAUCAGCCACACUGGAACUGACACACGGUCCAGACUCCUACGGGAGGCAGCAGUGAGGAAUUUUGCGCAAUGGGGGUAACCCUGACGCAGCAACGCCGCGUGAGUGACGAAGGCCUUUGGGUCGUAAAGCUCUGUCGACAGGGAAGAAAUUAACAUCAUCCAAUAGGUG
rnacentral:rRNA from 1 species